rnacentral:rRNA from 1 species
AACGAACGCUGGCGGCAGGCCUAACACAUGCAAGCCGAGCGGACCCUUCGGGGUUAGCGGCGGACGGGUGAGUAACGCGUGGGAAUAUGCCCUUCUCUACGGAAUAGUCCUGGGAAACUGGGGGUAAUACCGUAUACGCCCUUUGGGGGAAAGAUUUAUCGGGGAAGGAUUAGCCCGCGUUGGAUUAGGUAGUUGGUGGGGUAAUGGCCUACCAAGCCGACGAUCCAUAGCUGGUUUGAGAGGAUGAUCAGCCACACUGGGACUGAGACACGGCCCAGACUCCUACGGGAGGCAGCAGUAGGGAAUCUUAGACAAUGGGGGCAACCCUGAUCUAGCCAUGCCGCGUGAGUGAUGAAGGCCUUAGGGUUGUAAAGCUCUUUCAGCUGGGAAGAUAAUGACGGUACCAGCAGAAGAAGCCCCGGCUAACUCCGUG